GUCUCGAGAACACCUGUAAUCUUACCAGAUUACGUAAUCUUACAUUAUAUCAUGUAAAAUUACAGGAAAUUGGUAUUUAGUGUAUGGAACCUUACAAAUUUCCUUAAAUAAAACACCAUUUUCCCCUUUUUAAACAGAUCUGUUCUGUUAAAUUGUAGAAAAAUUCCUGUUUUAUGAAUUUACAGAAUGAUUCUGUUAUUGCUUUCUGCAAAAUCUUGAUUUUUUUCUGUAAAAUCAGGUUUUUUUUAACGGUGUACAUACGGCCAUGAAAAAGAUCACUUCUUAUUAUUGUUCUCUCUUUUCUUUCACAAACAGGUUGAGUUUGAAGAACAAGAAAAACAGUAGAGGUCUACCUAUAUGGUUAAACAUGAUGAUCAUAAGUGCAUGCAUCAUUUUGCAGAUUUUCAUCCAGGAUGAUGCAGUUUUACAAUUUCCAUGGAGGUGAUUGGUAAUGAUAAAUAAUUUGUGAAGUAGGCCUAAUAGAACAGUGACUGGACCACAAAGAGAAAUACAACCAUAUGAGACUGGUGUAACAGAUGUUUUCAUUCAAGAAAUCCAACAAUUCAAAAUUGAAGAGUCUGACUUAAGAAGCACUUGAUGAAGAUGGAAAAGGUUUUUUUUUCAAGUCCAUUUUUUUUUUAAAACAAAAUUAUUAUCACAACCCCAAAUUCAUGACGUAUGAAAUUUCUUGUUGAUUUUCAUUAAAACUGGUUGCAAAAGGAGAAGCUAUAAACAUACAAAUAGGAGCGGCGGAGCGAAGUUGAAAGGGGGGCACAUGUAAAAUGCUGUAUUACGUGAAAUUUUUACAAAGUUGCGAGCAAGCAAAAUUUUGACAGUUUUAUAAAGAAAAUCAAAUUUUGUGAUAGAUUUCGACAAAAUAUUCAGAAUGAUAUAUUUCACCCUUUUCUCUUUUUUUUAUUGGUCGUGAUUUUUGUUUGUUUGGGGGGGGCAAGUCCUUCAAGCCCCCCCCCCCCCUCCAUCUGUACGAAACUGCUUAUCUACCCCCACCCACAUGAAUUAUUAAAGGAUUUCCUUCAUAAGUAUAUUAUAGAAAUGAUAAUAUUGUUUUCUUGUUUCAAAGGGUGCUCGUCAUGGUGAACAUAAAACGGGCCCUUCUCAGGUGAAAGGGGCACAGAAUAAGUUCUUUAGGAGCACUUUUCUUGGGUAAAAAGGGGCAGUGAUUCGAGAAAGGGCAAUUACAAGAAGGCGAGGGGCAUUUUUUAACACAUAAAACGGCCCUCAUAUGAAAGGGCAGAACACAUUCGGGGGGGGGGGCAUUUUUGGGUAAAAAUUUGCAUACAAGAAAGAGCACUUGGUAACACCUAAAACAGGUUCUCGUCAGGUGAAAGGCAUGGACCUAUCCACAGAGGAUUAGCUAUUCUUACCGGGGGUGCUGUGACAAUUCCCUAGGGGGAACUGUGCCCCCCCCCCCCAGGAUCGCUGCCCCAUCAUACAAAAAAAAAAACACUUUCUUUUGGUUCAAAGUAUUAACAUACGCUUAAGAAAAAGGUAAAGCUUAAUCCUCUGAUAAUGUGAUAUUUUUUUCUGGCUAAUUAAUAAAAUUCACCACUAACCAGAGAAUUCCUUCAUGUCUUUCAUUUGUGUUAAUAUAGUAUUUGUACAGAGCUAAAAUGAAAGGGAGUUGGAAUUGGCAAAAUUCAAAAUGAGAUGGAGAUCGAGAGAGGGAAGAGUGAUGAAAAGUGGGUUGAAAAGAGAUGAGAAAGAAAUGGAGGGCACAUAUGAAGAGAUAAUUUAGAGGGGGGUGGUAUAAGAGAGCUAGAAUGUGGGAUGUAGGAACAAAAGGGGUGGAAGAGAAAUAAGACAAGAUUUAUGGAAACCAGGAGACAGAUAACAAGUGGGAAAAGAAGGAAAUAUAUGAAGAGUUUAGUUGCAAAAGGGGUUAGGGCCAUUCCGAGAAAAACCAUGUUUUCAUUCUCACUUAUUGCAAUAUUCUUAUGAGAAACUAAAUUGUCAUGAUGUACUACCCUAUGUAUGUAUGUAUGUAUGUUUUAUUUAUUUAAAUACGGGAUAAAAAAACCUGCUAUCAGCCGCAAGGCUGUUUUUCAGCAAGUCCGUACAUAAAAGUUGAAAAACAUAAAACAAUAAAUUAUAAAUCAUGAACAAAAUAAUAAAUACAUGUACAAACAUUUGAACAGAUAUAAGUUACAUUGUACAUGAUAAAAAUAAAGAUUUGAGAU